CGGACGGGUGAGUAACGCGUGGAUAACCUGCCUCACACUGGGGGAUAACAGUUAGAAAUGGCUGCUAAUACCGCAUAAGCGCACAGUACCGCACGGUACGGUGUGAAAAACCCAGGUGGUGUGAGAUGGAUCCGCGUCUGAUUAGCCAGUUGGCGGGGUAACGGCCCACCAAAGCGACGAUCAGUAGCCGACCUGAGAGGGUGACCGGCCACAUUGGGACUGAGACACGGCCCAA
rnacentral:rRNA from 1 species